AAAUUUCUCAUAUAUUAAAUCAACUUGGUUGCAUUACAAAGGACACGAUACAAAGAUUACAACAUGUGAAGCUAGUAGUAAUCCUACUGUUGACCUUGCAACCAACGUCUCAGCCAUUCUGAAACAUUGACACCGAAAAUAUCUGAAACAUAAUGAUUGAAACAUUGGCACUGGACAUGGAAUUCUAAGACACAAUGUGAAACUAUCUAAUAGCACUCCUAUUCUUGACCAAUAUCUGAGCCAUGCAUCAUCGAAUACAGCAAUCUACAACAAAGAAACGAAAUAGGUUAAUAGGGCAAAAAAAUUGGAAGGAGGAGCAACAUGGAAAGGUCGAAGGCAAUGUGAUAGUUAAUCUUGCUGCAUGACUAAUAAUUUUGACUCUUUUUAGUAGUUAUAAAAACUUGUAAGAUUUUGCUAAUGUAGCAUCAACGCGCAAUACCAAGAAUUCAUUACCAAGUUUAACAUCAUCAACUUUAGAUUUAUAUUCGGGGUCGAUACUUUGGAUUAAAGUAAGAGGAGCAUUGUUGUUCGGAUGUGUCCAGUAUAAUAUUUGUAGCUAACAAUAGUCAUUUUAGCUUACAGUACACUAACUCAGCCUGUUUCAUUAGUAAGUUUCACCCUGUUAACAGAAACAAAGUGUUUUAUAGGGGUGGGAAAAUGUAAGGCAGGCAUAAAGUAGUUGAUGAAUUGUUUAACCUAAUCUAACCGAAAUGAGUCUUAUCUCACAGAAGCAGUGUUCUCUUGUACAAAUUAGGUAGGAAAAAAAAGAGAAGCAUGUGUAAGAUAAUAAAAUGUAGUCAAGUAAUGCUAUUAAUACUCCAAACUUUCCAUUCGAUCUGGUGAAGAAUCAUUCACGCAAUAUAGAACUACUAUCAGAAAAUACCUCCUAGUAAAUCCAGCUUGGCACUAAUAUGUUUUAGCGCCAGCAACAUCGACUUGGAACAAUCUAGUCUCUGUAACCUGCUGAUUUGGCAUAUGCAUUAGUAAUCUAUGUUCGGUUGUGCUCACUGAAUCGAUGGCAUCAAAAUAGCCGAACACAUGUGUACGAAAAAUUUAGCGUACUCUUUAUUCUUUUAUAUCAGAACUCUUACAUAAGCUUGCUUUUUUACGGAAAAACUCUUGCACGACCUGGUUCCAUGAUAUGACCUGCUACAUGGCCAAAGCAAUCCAAACCUACGCUGACUUAAUAGCAUCUAGAACGACUCAGACUGCAGUGCCCUUUUACUAGACUAGUAAGGCAUGCUGAGUCCAAGACAUACUAGUACAGCAUGUAGGCUACUAGCUAUGCAAACUCAUUGAACCAUAUAUGGACUACAGAACACAAAUGCUUACGACAUGCAAACGAGACAUGUUGGAAAACUAACUAAUCAACCUAUCAAAAUUAGACUCAAACUUGGCUAGUUAAACUAGCAUGGACACCUACCAAACUACUUAAAAUGAUUCUAACAAUUUAGAAGACCACACCAUUAGUGCAGUGCCAGGCUGCCAACGUAUCAGUAUAUGCCAACAUUUACUAAAUAGGUUUCGCUUUCUUAGUUCACUUGUUUACCGAGAACAUGGAAACUUAGAGCAGUUCCAGUAUGCUCUUCUUUGUCACCAUGGUUGCCGGAUGCUCAAACUGUUGGCCUGAAUAGGUAGAGGAGAAGGUUCUAAGUAUUACAGAGAAGAGGAGAUCCUAGUAAGAUCCAAUAGUUUGGGAUCAGUGAAUUCGACGUACCUGACACACUUGCACAGUCGCCGUAUCUGAUCGCUUAGGUGUCUGUUUAUGCUUGUUAGUAACAUCCCACCACCAUAGUGUGCCUGUAUGUCAGGGAAGCAGAGUGCACAAGAGGAAUAAGUUUGACAGUUUAAGGAGAAUAUGUUACAAACAAGAUAAGAUGUGAGAGGCACCUGGCCAAGAGUUUGUGUGCUGACCAAUCAUGCAUCAUUCUAUCUUUGGAAACGUCUGUGGCUCCCCACAAAAUACAAAUUAGUACAGAGAUUGCAGGAAUUCAGAAGUACCCGUAUUUCCAAAAAAAAUGCACUGAACUUGAUUUAAAGGUGAGAUUUCAAUAAUAUGAGUCAAAUACAUAUGACGAGAAUAUCAAGGUACGAUGUUCUUGUAACUCACGUUCAAAAUUUAUCAAUUAUUUAACAGUUUAUAUUGGAUAACAUGAGUGUAAGAAUUAUUUCCAUCUGAGCUUUUGCAUAAAGUUAGAGAUUGAGGUGUGCACAUUUUUACUGAAUAAGAAGCUGAAACUAAUAUAACUUUUUGUAGGGGAAAACAAAUAUUACAUCAACCGAAAAGAUAGAAUAAGAUACAAAUUCACGUUUUCCUUACUGUAACAUGAACUAGCGAAAACAUCCUCAC
rnacentral:lncRNA from 1 species